rnacentral:rRNA from 1 species
GCGAACGGGUGAGUAACACGUGGGCAAUCUGCCCUGCACUCUGGGACAAGCCCUGGAAACGGGGUCUAAUACCGGAUAUGACCCGGGACCGCAUGGUCCUGGGUGUAAAGCUCCGGCGGUGCAGGAUGAGCCCGCGGCCUAUCAGCUUGUUGGUGGGGUAAUGGCCUACCAAGGCGACGACGGGUAGCCGGCCUGAGAGGGCGACCGGCCACACUGGGACUGAGACACGGCCCACACUCCUACGGGAGGCAGCAGUGGGGAAUAUUGCACAAUGGGCGAAAGCCUGAUGCAGCGACGCCGCGUGAGGGACGACGGCCUUCGGGUUGUAAACCUCUUUCAGCAGGGAAGAAGCGCAAGUGACGGUACCUGCAGAAGAAGCACCGGCUAACUACGUGCCAGCAGCCGCGGUAAUACGUAGGGUGCGAGCGUUGUCCGGAAUUAUUGGGCGUAAAGAGCUCGUAGGCGGCCUGUCGCGUCGGAUGUGAAAGCCCGGGGCUCAACCCCGGGUCUGCAUUCGAUACGGGCAGGCUGGAGUGUGGUAGGGGAGAUCGGAAUUCCUGGUGUAGCGGUGAAAUGCGCAGAUAUCAGGAGGAACACCGGUGGCGAAGGCGGAUCUCUGGGCCAUUACUGACGCUGAGGAGCGGAAGCGUGGGGAGCGAACACGAUUACAUACCCUGGUAGUCCA